AUUGAACGCUGGCGGCAUGCCUUACACAUGCAAGUCGAACGGUAACAGGUCUUCGGAUGCUGACGAGUGGCGCACGGGUGAGUAAUACAUCGGAACGUGCCCAGACGUGGGGGAUAACGAGGCGAAAGCUUUGCUAAUCCCGCAUACGAUCUAAGGAUGAAAGCAGGGGACCGCAAGGCCUUGCGCGUUUGGAGCGGCCGAUGGCAGAUUAGGUAGUUGGUGGGAUAAAAGCUUACCAAGCCGACGAUCUGUAGCUGGUCUGAGAGGACGACCAGCCACACUGGGACUGAGACACGGCCCAGACUCCUACGGGAGGCAGCAGUGGGGAAUUUUGGACAAUGGGCGAAAGCCUGAUCCAGCAAUGCCGCGUGCAGGAUGAAGGCCUUCGGGUUGUAAACUGCUUUUGUACGGAACGAAAAGGCUCUGGCUAAUACCUGGGGCACAUGACGGUACCGGAAGAAUAAGCACCGGCUAACUACGUG
rnacentral:rRNA from 1 species